rnacentral:misc_RNA from 1 species
UUAUUGUAUCUUUUUUGGUGGCAAUUUAGUCACUUCGAGAAGUAAGAAGCAGAAUGUAACAGCAAGAUCUAGAGCAGAGGCAGAAUUCAGAGCUAUGGCACAGUGUAUUUGCAAGUUAUUAUGGGUGCAGAAAAUGAUGGGGGAAAUGAGACUAUCAGAAGCAAACAGUUUGUCAUUGUUUUGUGACAACAAAGCUGAUAUCAGUAUAAUUCAUAAUCCAGUUCAACAUGAUCAAACCGAACACAUAGAGAAUGAUCGACACUUCAUAAAGGAAAA